rnacentral:lncRNA from 1 species
CUGCAGUGGGUUUUCUUUCUUUCUUUUUUUUUUUUUUUUUUUUUUGCAGUGGGUUUUCUAUUGGUCUAACAUUGUUCUUACACAACAGGACGACCCCGAGGAUCUAAUUCACAGACAGGUUUAUGGAUUCACUGGUGGACUUACUGGAGGGGCUUACUUAACAUAAUUCUACGUUUUGAGGAGCCCCUCCCCAAAUUACUAUCAUUUCUUUUAGAUCAUUAUGUUUAUCAAGUUAUUAACAUUUCUUGCUAUGUAGUAUAGGCUGACCUUGAGUUUGAAGUCCUUUUCCUCCUUCUACCAAAUGCUGCUAUUAUAAGUGUGUACCAUUAUGCACUGCUUAUGAUAAUUAUUUUUACUCUUUUUAAAAAGUAUUUCUAAAUUUUUUAUCUCUGUGUGUGUGUCUGUGUGUGUGUUCACAUGUGUUCAGGUGCUUCAGAGUUCAGGAGAACCCAGAAGAAGGAUGUGUGGAGGCACUGGUACAGGUGGUUAGGAAUUGCCAGACUUGGGUGCUGGGAAACUGAACUUGGGUUUUCUCCACAGGCAGUACUUGCUCUUAACCAUGGGGGCAUCUCUCUAGCCUCACAGCUAUUAUUUUAAAAAGAAUGUAUUGUUUCAGUCUCAUGUUUCAAGCUGGAUAUUUUGUUUCCAUAGUACAUCAGGUUUAUAGACUUUUUAUUUUCUGAACAGGGUUUUUCUGUGUAGCCCUGGCUAUCCUGGCUCUGUACAUCACACUCGCCAUAAAUUUGGAGAUCUGCCUGCUUUUGCCUCCUGGAUGCUGCCAUUAAAGGCAUGUACCCCUACCACUUGGCUUACAAACCUUUUAAAAAUUACAAUGAUUACUGUAUGUUAAUUGUACAAAUUAAUGGGACUUCACCACAAUGUUUCCAUGCAUGCAUUCAUUGUGACCUGAUCCUGUUCCCCCCCAUUUCCAUGCUCUGUCCCCUUCCUCUUUCUACCUGCUUCCCCGAGCCUCUUUCCCUUCCCUAAAGGUCUUACAUUUUCAGGUUCCUUAAAAAAAAUGACCAUCAUAAACUGUUCUAAUUUUUGAACAGUUUCCUACACACAUAUAAUUUUAGUCAUUUUACCCCUCUCCACCUCCUUUACUCUUCACUCAC